rnacentral:rRNA from 1 species
CCUACGGGUGGCAGCAGUGGGGAAUAUUGCGCAAUGGGCGAAAGCCUGACGCAGCAACGCCGCGUGAUGGAAGAAGGCUUGCGGGUUGUAAACUUCUUUUAAGGGGGAAGAGCAGAAGACGGUACCCCUUGAAUAAGCCACGGCUAACUACGUGCCAGCAGCCGCGGUAAUACGUAGGUGGCAAGCGUUGUCCGGCUUUACUGGGUGUAAAGGGCGUGCAGCCGGAGAGACAAGUCAGAUGUGAAAUCCACGGGCUCAACCCGUGAACUGCAUUUGAAACUGUUUCCCUUGAGUGUCGGAGAGGUAAUCGGAAUUCCUUGUGUAGCGGUGAAAUGCGUAGAUAUAAGGAAGAACACCAGUGGCGAAGGCGGAUUACUGGACGAUAACUGACGGUGAGGCGCGAAAGCGUGGGGAGCAAACAGGAUUAGAUACCCCUGUAGUC